rnacentral:rRNA from 1 species
AAGAUUAAGCCAUGCAUGUCUCAGUACAAGCCAAAUUAAGGUGAAACCGCGAAAGGCUCAUUAAAUCAGUUAUGGUUCCUUAGAUCGUACACACAAUUACUUGGAUAACUGUGGUAAUUCUAGAGCUAAUACAUGCUAACAGAGCUCUGACCGGAGACGGAAAGAGUGCUUUUAUUAGAUCAAAACCAAUCGGUGGCGGGCUUGCUCGUCAUCGUACCAUUUGGUGACUCUGAAUAACUUUUGCUGAUCGCACGGUCUCGUACCGGCGACGCAUCUUUCAAAUGUCUGCCUUAUCAACUGUCGAUGGUAGGUUCUGCGCCUACCAUGGUUGUAACGGGUAACGGGGAAUCAGGGUUCGAUUCCGGAGAGGGAGCCUGAGAAACGGCUACCACAUCCAAGGAAGGCAGCAGGCGCGCAAAUUACCCACUCCCGGCACGGGGAGGUAGUGACGAAAAAUAACGAUACGGGACUCAUCCGAGGCCCCGUAAUCGGAAUGAGUACACUCUAAACCCUUUAACAAGGAACAAUUGGAGGGCAAGUCUGGUGCCAGCAGCCGCGGUAAUUCCAGCUCCAAUAGCGUAU